rnacentral:rRNA from 1 species
GUGAACCUGCGGAAGGAUCAUUGUCGAUGCCCGCCGGCAGACCCGCGAACUCGUACUCGAACCGCGCGGGGGGACGGCGCGGGCGCGACCCCCUUCGGGCCCCCGCGUCGGAGCCCCCCCCCGCCGACGUGUGCCUCGGCGCCCGUCGCGCGGCUCAACGAACCCCGGCGCGGAAAGCGCCAAGGAACACCGAAAGCGCCGCGGCCCCCCGGUGCCCCGUGCGCGGUGCGCACCCGGGGAWGGGACGCGCGUCGAACCGAGAACGACUCUCGGCAACGGAUAUCUCGGCUCUCGCAUCGAUGAAGAACGCAGCAAAAUGCGAUACUUGGUGUGAAUUGCAGAAUCCCGCGAACCAUCGAGUUUUUGAACGCAAGUUGCGCCCGAAGCCAUCGUGCCGAGGGCACGUCUGCCUGGGCGUCACGCACAUCGUCGCCCUCCCCCCGACCCCGGGGGCGCGGGGCGGACGCUGGCCUCCCGUGCGCCACGCCGCGCGGCCGGCCCAAAUGCGAUCCGGCGUCGACGCUCGUCGUGACGAUUGGUGGUCGAAGACCCCGACUCGCGCCUCGCCGCGCGCGAACGCCGGAAUGCGUCGACCCCGACGGUGCCGGGCACCCCGACGGCGACCC